GACGAACUCUGGCGGCGUGCUUAACACAUGCAAGUCGAACGAAGUGGCGAACGGGUGAGUAAUACGUGGGUAACCUGCCCUCCUUUUUGGGAUAAGCCUUGGAAACGGGGUCUAAUACCGAAUCAAGGGUGAUGGGCUCUCUGCCUAUCAGCUUGUUGGUGGGGUGAUGGCCUACCAAGGCGGUGACGGGUAGACGGCCUGAGAGGGUGACCGGCCACAUUUGGACUGAGAUACGGCCCGGACUCCUACGGGAUGCAGCAGUGGGGGAUAGUGCACAAUGGGCGAAAGGCUGAUGCAGCGACGCCGCGUGGGGGAUGAAGGCUUUCGGGUUGUAAACCUCUUUAGCUAUCGAAAGGGGAGGUGGAGAAGAAGAGCCGGCUAACUACGUGCCAGCCGAAGCGGUAAUAG
rnacentral:rRNA from 1 species